rnacentral:lncRNA from 1 species
UUAUGGUAAUACAUGUGAUACUAAUAGUAGCUGCCUUUUGAGGCCUUUUUAUGAACCAAGCACUCAUAGUGCUUUGCAUAUAUUAUCUCAGUUAAUCUGUGUAAUAACCCUCAGCCCAAUUUUACAGAUAGAAAAACUCUCCCAUUUGAGACUUCCAGAGGUGAAGUAAUAAGAAACAGAGCUGAACCACGUCAUUCUGACUCCAGAGUUCAUGUUCUCAACCUCUAGGCUCCGCUGCCUGAGUAAACGUAUUAGAAGUUAAUGCCAUGCUGAUUUGGGGGAAGUUCUAUGAAAUCUAAGUUGAUGAACAUUAUUCCCCCUGCUGAUACCAAAAGUCCUGACUUGUAAGGAGGACAAAGCUGAGAUGAAAGUGUCCUAAGUUAGAUUCCUGGGAAGAAAAUUCUGAGACACAUUCUGCAGGAUGAUUAUUAGGGCUCAUCCUUGGUUUCAACACCCAUAGAAGGAAGGGGGAAGAAGAAAUCGAACAGAGAGACAGAAGUCGAGAUGCAUUUCAGGCCAGGACUCUUGGCUGAACCCACAGGAGCUCUGGAGCUAGAAUGGCCCUUCAGAGUUGUCCUGAGUUGGUCUGAGAUGGCCAGUUCUUUAUAUUCCUGCAUGGGAUAGUCACUGGAUGUCCACCCCAGGAAGGGGUGUGGCCAAGACAGUCCCUAAAAUGCCCGCCAGCACUCCCUACACCUGGAGCGACAAGACCAACAUCACAGGGGGAAUGCACUGGGUGAUGGAUCACAGCGUUCAUCCCAGAAGAUGAGGAUACAGAAUUGGCUGACAACUACGUUCUAAAUGUCAGUGUUCUCCAAAAUUCAUAUGUUGAAACUUAAUUCCCAAUGUGAUGGCAUUAGGAAGUGGGGCCUUUGGGGGAGGGACUAUAGGUCAUGAGGGUGUAACCCUCAUCAAUGGGAUUAGUGUCCAGAGAGCUGCCUUGCCCUUCCACCAUGUGAGGACAUAGUGAGAAGGUGCCAUCUAUGAACUAGGAAGUGGGCGCUUACCACCAGACACCCACUCUUCUGGCAACUUGAUCUUGAAUUUCCCAGCCUCCAGAACUCUGAGAAAUCAAUUUCUGUUAAUUAUAAGCUACCCAGUCGAUAGCAUUUUGUUAAAGCUGCUGGAACUAAACUAAGACACUGACGCUUUCUGCGACAAAAAGAUAGAGUGAGUCUCUAUAGCAUACCAUGUAACAGAUGUUUUUGGAAAAAUAACCUCAUUUCAUAUGUUUCCUCAAGAUAAAAAGAAUGUCAUAACAACAAAUGAGAAAAUAGUUGCUUUAGAAAUAUUGCACCCUAUGGAGAGAGUAUUUUGGAUUUUGGUUUUUUGUUUUGUUUUUUAACUUUUGUUUUAGGUUUGGGGGUACAUAUGCAGGUUUGUUAUAUAGGUAAACUCAUGUCACAGGGGUUUGUUGUACAGAUAAUUUCCUCACCCAGGUACUAAGCCUAGUACCCAAUAGUUGCUUUUUCUCCUCCUCUCUCUCCUCCCACCCUCCACCCUCAAAUAGGCCCCAGUGUAUGUUGUUCUCUUCAUUAUGUUCAUGAAGUUGAGAGAGUGUUUUGAAAAAGAAUGUUGGAAAGCAUUUCCACUGUUAGAUGAUUUUAAGUCAAAAAGUUAUACAACAGUGUGACCUAUUUGCACACAAGCAUGGACACAGAAUUGUGUCAUAUGUUUAAAACUUUUCUAGAUCCUUUUGUGGUUCAUAAGCUUGAUGAUUGAGUUUUCGCGUCCACAUGUGAGAUGUGCCUCCCUUGAGCCUUGUCAUUGGCACAUUACCUGCCUGAUGUGAACAAUAAAAAUAAAAAAUAAAAAUUUGCUAAGCAGA